rnacentral:lncRNA from 1 species
AUAAGACAAAGUGAACACAGAGUAGCUACCUGUGAAGAUAUUCAACCUUUUAUCUGUACCUAUCUGCUUAGGAACCAAAAGAAAGGCAGCUUCUUGCAUGACUCAGUUUCAGCUUAAUUUUUCCUUUUGGCAUCUUGAAUUGGGGUCCCACAUUUCUAUUUUCCUUUUACAUUUCACCUCCCUCUUCUUUUUGAAAUCUUCGAGAGAAAGCAUUUUAGAAGAAAAUUAGUCUCUGGUCUUGGGUUUUGUCUAAUCUCUCAUGUAUAGGACAGUUUUUUCCUAGACAAACAGGUCCUACAUGGUUGGGAAGGCUCGUUUUUAGCAGAUUGUAAAGUUUCACAUCUUACAAAGAAAAAAUAGAGGGAGAAAGAGAGAAAGAAACAGAAGAGAAAAAGAAGAAAACAACAAACAACAAAAAAGGAAGAAAAUCCUGGAAAACUGAUAUAAGCCGUUUUACUCUGAAGUCCAUACAUCAAUAGAAAUCUAAGAUUACACAUUUUAAAAAGCCUCAAGCGCAGCUAAGGAUUUAUCUGUGCCUACAGAUACCUGUAUGAAUUGAAUGUAUUCUUCCCUUUUCAAGGUCCCAAGAAAAUUUGAAAUCCCUGGUCCUAUCAGAGAGUGACAUUCUUUACUUAUGACAGGUCAGGACCUUGUAAAGGACAAGAUAUGGGGCCAAUAUUUC